GACGAACGCUGGCGGCGUGCUUAACACAUGCAAGUCGAACGGGCCCGCUCUCUUUUUUGGGGGUGGGUUGAGUGGCGAACGGGUGAGUAUCACGUGAGUAACCUGCCCCCUGCUCCUGGAUAACUGCUUGAAAGGGCGGCUAAUACGGGGUGUGCCGGCUGGUCCGCAUGGCCUGGGCGGGGUAGGUUCAUUUUCGGGUGGUUUGGGGGGGGGUGGGCUCGCCGGCUAUUAGCUUGUUGGUGGGGGGAUGGCCCACCAAGGCGGUGACGGGUAGCCGGCCUGAGAGGGUGGGCGGCCACACUGGGACUGAGACACGGCCCAGACUCCUGCGGGAGGCAGCAGUGGGGGGUAUUGCACAAUGGGCGGAAGCCUGAGGCAGCGACGUCGCGUGAGGGAUGGAGGCCUUCGGGUUGUGAACCUCUUUCUCCGGUGGUGAAGGCCCUGUCCGUUGCGGCGGGGUUGACGGUAGCCGGGUAUGAAGCGCCGGCUAACUACGUG
rnacentral:rRNA from 1 species